CAGUAGCCACGGGAAUACGUAGGUGGCAAGCGUUGUCCGGAAUUAUUGGGCGUAAAGGGCUCGCAGGCGGUUUCUUAAGUCUGAUGUGAAAGCCCCCGGCUCAACCGGGGAGGGUCAUUGGAAACUGGGAAACUUGAGUGCAGAAGAGGAGAGUGGAAUUCCACGUGUAGCGGUGAAAUGCGUAGAGAUGUGGAGGAACACCAGUGGCGAAGGCGACUCUCUGGUCUGUAAUUGACGCUGAGGAGCGAAAGCGUGGGGAGCGAACAGGAUUAGAUACCCGCGUAGUCCCUGUCUCUUAUAC
rnacentral:rRNA from 1 species